rnacentral:lncRNA from 1 species
GGUGUAUGUAUGCAUUAAUUUCUUGAAUUCAUUCAUGAUGUCCGGUUAAGUUUAGGUUGUAUCAGAAAGUAAUUAUGAGCAACCGUGAUCCAUGUCACUUCUGCUCACGGGCAUCAAAUGGCCCCACACGAAUCACCUCCUUCACUCAACGAUUGAGAUGUCACAACUGAUAAAGAACCGUCGGAUGCCCAUGACCAUGGCAAAGCGGUUUGAAUUGCUCGCUGGUACGACGCAAACCGCGGUGUCCCUCUCCGGAUGUCUCACGGUGGUGGAAGGGAGGUCUAGGGUGUGACCACAACAGUUGGACAGAGGUGUGGUGGUGGUGGCGGCGGCGGUGGUGGAAGGGAGGACGGGAGCUACCAUGAAAUGACAUGACAUCUAUGGACGAGGAUGUGAAUUAUUUAGUUAGGUAGGCCUUCGGAGCUUGAUGAGACUGGUCCUUUCUUCAAGGAUCCAUUCAUGCCCUAUUUUUGUGUACGUGUCAGCCUUUGGACGGAGAGAGCAAAGGGAAAAAGGAGCACAACUAAUUUUGAACGGCUUCCAUCCAUGUUGCUUGGUGAAACAAUGGGUCUCAAACGGUAGGUCCCUUUUGACGGACAGAUGGGAAACGUUUCUCCUCUCCUUCGUCAUUCCAAAAAGCCACCAUCAAUCAUUUUGAGGAGACAGGUGGUACCGAAUUAAUUGCAUCAAUUUGUCACAAAAAGUAGGGUGUGAGCCAGCCUACUCCUGGGGCGAGAGAGUGAUCCCUAAGUUGGCCUUUUUUUCUGUGGGUUCCUCGCUUCCUCUUGUUGGCCAUGCUCAAUCUUCGGCAAAAGGAAUAAUUUCCUGUCCCUCCAAUCUUUUUUUUUUAUUCCAUCUUGCGCGGCAGCGAUGCGCGCGGAUCAAUAUGCAUUUCUGACAUUAUAUGCAUCCGGAAACACGCAAACACCGAGUACCGUAGUUUACUUGGUUUCGUUUUCAUC